rnacentral:rRNA from 1 species
UACGAAGGGUGCAAGCGUUACUCGGAAUUACUGGGCGUAAAGGGUGCGUAGGUGGUUGUUUAAGUCUGUUGUGAAAGCCCCGGGCUCAACCUGGGAAUGGCAUGGAUACUGGACAGCUAGAGUGCGGUAGAGGGUAGUGGAAUUCCCGGUGUAGCAGUGAAAUGCGUAGAGAUCGGGAGGAACACCAGUGGCGAAGGCGGCUACCUGGACCAGCACUGACACUGAAGCACGAAAGCGUGGGGAGCAAACAGGG